rnacentral:rRNA from 1 species
CAGCCGCCACGGUAAUACGGAGGAUCCAAGCGUUAUCCGGAAUCAUUGGGUUUAAAGGGUCCGUAGGCGGUCUUGUAACUCAGUGGUGAAAGCCCAUCGCUCAACGGUGGAACGGCCAUUGAUACUGCAGGACUUGAAUUAUUGGGAAGUAACUAGAAUAUGUAGUGUAGCGGUGAAAUGCUUAGAGAUUACAUGGAAUACCAAUUGCGAAGGCAGGUUACUACCAAUUGAUUGACGCUGAUGGACGAAAGCGUGGGUAGCGAACAGGAUUAGAUACCCCCGUAGUCCCUGUCUCUUAUAC